rnacentral:rRNA from 1 species
GACGUUACCCGCAGAAUAAGCACCGGCUAACUCUGUGCCAGCAGCCGCGGUAAUACAGAGGGUGCAAGCGUUAAUCGGAAUUACUGGGCGUAAAGCGCGCGUAGGCGGUUUGUUAAGUCGGAUGUGAAAUCCCCGGGCUCAACCUGGGCACUGCAUCCGAUACUGGCUGACUAGAGUGUGGGAGAGGAAGGUAGAAUUCCAGGUGUAGCGGUGAAAUGCGUAGAGAUCUGGAGGAAUACCGAUGGCGAAGGCAGCCUUCUGGCCUGACACUGACGCUGAGGUGCGAAAGCAUGGGGAGCAAACAGGAUUAGAUACCCUGGUAGUCCAUGCCGUAAACGAUGUCAACUAGCCGUUGGGGACCUUGAGUCUUUAGUGGCGCAGCUAACGCGAUAAGUUGACCGCCUGGGGAGUACGGCCGCAAGGUUAAAAACUCAAAUGAAUUGACGGGGGGCCCGCACAAGCGGUGGAGUAUGUGGUUUAAUUCGAUGCAAC